rnacentral:rRNA from 1 species
GAUGAACGCUGGCGGUAUGCUUAACACAUGCAAGUCGAACGGACUCUUCGGAGUUAGUGGCGGACGGGUGAGUAACGCGUGAGAAUCUGGCUUUGGGUUCGGGACAACCACUGGAAACGGUGGCUAAUACCGGAUGUGCCGAGAGGUAAAAGAGAAAUUGCCUGAAGAUGAGCUCGCGUCUGAUUAGCUAGUUGGUGAGGUAAAGGCUCACCAAGGCAGCGAUCAGUAGCUGGUCUGAGAGGAUGACCAGCCACACUGGGACUGAGACACGGCCCAGACUCCUACGGGAGGAAGCAGUGGGGAAUUUUCCGCAAUGGGCGAAAGCCUGACGGAGCAAUACCGCGUGAGGGAAGAAGGCUCUUGGGGUGUAAAACUCUUUUCUUAGGGAAGAACAAAAUGACGGUACCUAAGGAAUCAGCAUCGGCUAACUCCGUG